UCCCUGGAGGACUAGUGGUUAGGCCACGGCGCUCUCAUCGCUGCGGCCUGGGUUCGUUUCCGGCAAGGGAA